CAGCUAUCAGUUUUACUGUCACUGGGAUUUCAGAUAGAUGCAUAUAUCACACAGACACUAGAGCGAUACUCUUGACAAAUGAAUGAGCCUUUUUUUUUUUUUCUUUUUCUUUUUUUUCUUUAAUUUGUUCAUAGACAAUCCCUGCACACAGAUGGGGAGAACAUAUUCUAGUUGAUAUUGUGUGAGCCAACUUGAACCUACGAGCAGCAGAGUUUGAUGUGGUGCCCAAGCUAAUCUUCCUCUUGGCAGGGCUGAGAGCACAAGGCUAUCCUGAUUCUGGAUUCAGUUUGAUUUAUCUGGAUGCCUCCUUUCUUCACCAUGGGAAGUUAUGAAGUUGGAUUGACAUCAGAAUGGAAAUCUCUACAUCACGUUCAAUUAAUUUCACAGAAUCAUAAGAAAUAUUCCUUGACUUAAGCUUUCAGUAAUUAAUAAUUGGGUUGACAAAAACCUUGUCCAGAAACAGAUCAGGCAAAAUGAACUCCCAGGUUGGACUGAUCCAGCCACCUUCAUUUGUGAAGACAAGAACAUAAGCAUGGCUUUAUCAAAUCAAUCCAAAGAUUGACUUCCUCGCCCAGCAGAUCAUCUGGAGCUUAAAAGCAAACCAAUAAUUGUAACAUAUGGGUGAAAGCUUUUUUGAGCCAGUGUGCAGCAAGUAGAAAACUGUAGACUGCUAAUAUCUCCAGUGAAUUUGAUCUCAAGAGCUGAUGGCCAACAUAUGUAUCAUCUAGCAACAAAAGGCUGACAACUGCCACUGACUUCCCUCUAUCUGAAGAAUCUUUGUAGAGAUGCUGGUGUGCUGGCUUCAGGUUGUCACCCCAUGUAUGGGCAGACUUCACUGCAUCUUCCUACAGUCAACACAGUGCAAGGGGAGGGGUAAUGAGAAGAUGGAGAGGAUCUGAGCCUCCUGCAAGCCCAGCCCUGGAACCUUGAUACAGUAGAACACCUCUCAUGGCUGCUCCUGCCCCAUGCUCCAGUGGAAGCAUCCCUCUGCAAACCCUCAUACAUACCACCCAAGGCUAUGCAUGCUGGCAUUGGAGUGACAGAGAGGGCAUCUCAUGAGGCCCCUGGGUCACAACCAAGUGGUGGUCAAUUCCAAAGGAGGAGACUAAUCAACGGUGCUCUGUGUGGCCCCACAAUAUACCUCAGGGAUUGGGUAUCCUCCGAGGAGGGAGCAGGCAGCUCUUUGCUCGGAUGCACAAAGCUGGAAGCCUUCAAACUCCUGUCCUGUCACUGUGUUGGAACUUGGAAGAUUGUCUCUCAGUAUCAGGGGAGGCUCUUUUUGCUGAACAGUUUGCAGAACAAGAAACUCACCCUUCUUGGCAGCUGCCUGAAGACAGAUUGAAUGUUAAGCGAAGCUUACAUAAAUGGAAAGCAAGCACUGGCACAAUGACUGAUAAAUCCACUCCUGCCUCCUAAGAACUGCUGAGCUGAGGGAAAAGCCACCAUCAGAACUGCAGUCCUUGAAAAGAAAAGACAAGUCUCAAAUAAGUUAAGGUUUUGUUCCCUACCUUUGGACUCUAGGAUAUUUAUGACAUCGGAUAUUAGUGAAUUCUGUAGAUCAUUUCAUUUCACUUUCAAUAAACAUUUGCCAGGCCUCUCUGUCUUUUCUAGAAAACGAAAAAAAAAAACAA
ensembl:lncRNA